GGAAAGACUUCGAAGAGGAAUAGUACCUUAGGUCCCAUCUUCAGAGAGCCGGCGGUUGGUGCAAGCCGGUGAUGGUGCAGAAGCGAACUCGCCUCAGAGUCGCGCAGCAGAAUCGGGAGCGGUAAGCUGCGACGUAUUGCCAGCGUUAAUGGUGUAAAGGGAGUGGAUAGCAAAGCAUGCUGUCCGCUAACUAGGGUGGUACCACGGGAAUAAUGCCUCUCGUCCCUAGC
rnacentral:ncRNA from 1 species